rnacentral:rRNA from 1 species
UACGUAGGGGGCAAGCGUUGUCCGGAUUUAUUGGGCGUAAAGAGCGUGUAGGCGGCUUUACAGGUCCGUUGUGAAAACUCGAGGCUCAACCUCGAGACGCCGGCGGAAACCGUAAAGCUAGAGUCCGGAAGAGGAGAGUGGAAUUCCUGGUGUAGCGGUGAAAUGCGCAGAUAUCAGGAAGAACACCGAUGGCGAAGGCAGGUCUCUGGGCCACUACUGACGCUGAGAAGCGAAAGCAUGGGGAGCGAACAGG